CAAAUGUUUGAUGGAUUCAAGAUUUUUCUCAGGUUCUCAUUCAAAUAGUCAAGACUAACAGAAGAUUACGAUGAACUGGUGUACCUCGGCUAUCUUCUCAGGAAAGUAUCUUGAUCUUGUAACACUGCCAAGACUCGCUGACGUCUUCAUGGAAUUUCAAUGACCAUACAUGUGUAGGAUAUCAAGACUUGUGCUGUGGGGAAAUUUGAAAAAUCAGUUAUAGUCUAAAUAUACUGAAUGAACAUGUUAAAGCCUAAUAUUGUGGCAUUUUAAUUUUUAUAUGCAAAUUUUGAAAGUUUUAAUCAUCAAUUGUAUAAUGAUCCUGUGUCUAUAAAACGAUAGUGACUUGUAAACUUAUAUAUCUGCAGAUGUGAUGUAAAAACAGCUUAUAGUUAUAUUUCAUAUAUCGACUGGAGGGCAAUAUAAAGCAAUCAAUCACACGUAAAUACAGAUAAUGCAUGGAUUUCGUAAAUUUGGCUGCAGUUUUCAACUUUUGCAGGAUAAUCUACUAACAAGGCCGCUAGGCGUUAUAAUAAAACCACUGUUAGUAUGUAUAGAUAAAAACUUGGUUUUUUGCUUAGUAAGAUUCUUUUGUUUCAAUAAAACUAGCCAAGUUGCCUUUAGCUAGGCGUAAAAUA